UACAGAGGCCUCGAGCGUUAGGCGGAAUCACUGGGCUUAAAGCGUGUGUAGGUGGAUGCCUAAGUGCCUUGUGAAAUCCCACGGCUUUAACCGUGGAAUUGCUGGGCAUACUGGGUGUCUUGAGCCACUCAGGGGCUACCGGAACAAAUGGUGGAGCGGUGAAAUGCGUAGAUAUCAUUUGGAACGCCAAUGGUGAAAACAGGUAGCUGGGGGUGUGCUGACACUGAGACACGAAAGCCAGGGGAGCAAACGGG
rnacentral:rRNA from 1 species